CAGGGAGACAGGUGGUGGCAUGGUUGUCGUCAGCUCGUGUCGUGAGAUGUGGUUAAGUCCCGCAACGAGCGCAACCCCUACGUUUAGUUGCUAACGCGUGAAGGCGAGCACUCUAGACGAACUGCCGUUGACAAAACGGAGGAAGGUGGGGACGACGUCAAAUCAUCAUGCCCCUUAUGUUCUGGGCUACACACGUGCUACAAUGGCCGGUACAGACGGACGCAAAGCCGCGAGGUGGAGCAAAUCCUAAAAAGCCGGUCUCAGUUCGGAUUGCAGGCUGCAAUUCGCCUGCAUGAAGUCGGAAUCGCUAGUAAUCGCAGGUCAGCAUACUGCGGUGAAUACGUUCCCGGGCCUU
rnacentral:rRNA from 1 species